UGUUGCUGCUCAGACCUGUGCUUUCUUUUGUCUGUGCAGCAGGACUUUUAUCCCAGCUGGUCUUUUGCAAACCUGCUGGUGCUUUGGGGCUGCUGGGACAGGCUGUGUCCGUCUCUCUCCUCUCUCUGCUUCAAGCCCAGGGCCAUCUUCUCAGACUUUGCUUUUUUCUUUAUCACCCAUCCACCUGCACCCAGAGGACUGGCAAAGGUGUGAUCUGACAUGCUCUAGAACCACAAAUCUGAUUUCCUAAAUCAGGUUUAGAGGGGGAAAAGGGAACUAGAUGCUGAGCUGUAGUAAAAUUAGCAGUUUGCAAGUCUUGGCUUUCUUUUAACCUAAUUGUUUCUGAGCAGCACUAGCAUACCUUUCAGUAAAUGGAAAAAAUAUCUGUUCUCUUCUGAAGCAGCCAUUGAAGCACAGAAACAAUUCCUUUGGUUCAUUUUUUAUCCUAAACCAGCCAGCUUUGGUGGGUUAUUAUUUUUAAUGAAUCAUCUGGUUCAUUUGGUCUGUGCUCUUGCUGAUAAUGAAACAGUUGUUUCCUAGUGAAAUACUUUCUAAUGUGUGCAGAUGAUAGUUUCCAUUAUUCUUUACAUCAAAGCAGUUAAAAAUAUUUGUUUAGUGGACUUCUGUGGUUAAACACAUAUCAAAAGCUAGACCAGCCUUUUACAUAAUCAUUUAUAAAGAGGAAGCAGCUCAUAUGAAAACUCCCUUGCCCAGUGGUGGUCGGUAGGAAGGUUUUAAGUAUCCCAAGAUCUUGUGAGUACUAAGCUUACCUGCCAGGUAAGCACCUAGACCUCCCUUCCUACAAAAGUUUUUGACCAAAUGAGCUGUUAAGUAGCUUAUGAAGGCAUUUCUUUGGUCAGUGUGAACUUCCUUCCCUCUCACUGCUCAGCAUGUGGAUUUCAUUGGAUGAGUUAUAAUUGGCAUUUGCAUCAUCAUCUCAUUGGCUAUUGACUAGAAAAUGCUUUCUUCCUAAAGAAAAAAAAAAAAAAAGGGAAAAUAUUUUUCUGUUUGCACUUGGAAUAAGAAAGAUGUGAAGUAUAGACUCUCCCAGAUUGCACGCUAGGAGUACUUGGCUUUAUCAGUACCCAGGGAAAGCUUCUCCAUUCAAACAGGCUGAGGCAAACAGAGGCAGUAACUCUAAACCUUUUUGCCAGCAGUGGGAAGUGUGGGUUGGCCUCAGAAAUUAGCUUUAAUAAAAGGCACUCCUCACUUCUUUGCUUUGUGCUUUUUCUCCUUUAAUAAACAUAAACUCUCUGGCAGUAACCCAGGUGAAGGAGAAGAUGUGGGCUGAGGGAACAGCCACGCACGGAGCCUUUCAUCAGAGGAUAUCAAAGCACUCCAGCUGAACCUGGAGGGAGCUGGAAGGGCUUAUUCUGAUAGCUGGGGCAGCACUGAGGGAAGAGCUGCUUCCAAGGUAAAGCAAACUGGUUACAGAGCAGCAAAUUCUUUCCUCAGCUCGCACGAGUCCUUUCGUCCACCUGUUUCCCCCAGAUGUUUAAAAUCUGGCCUGGUAGUGCAUGACCUCGUCCUUUCCAAGGUGGCAGUAAGGUGACAUUUUUAGGUAGGGACUUUUUUGGUUGUUUGGUGUUGCCUUAUGCUGGGAAAUCCUAAUAAUUGUGGAAGUGAUGGAGUGUGACAAGGCAUUUCAGCCGUAACCUGGAAUUUGGUCAGGAAAUUAGCCACAGAUGUCCUGCCUUCCUUACUAUCCACUGAAAUUAUUCCAGAGCUGGGAAUCUACUCCUGUGAGAGCUGACAGUGUACCUUUUGUAAAGGACAAUUCAGUGAUUUGCUCCCAUUCUGUCCAAGUUAAAUCUUUUAGUACAGCAGUAGGAAUUGGUACUCUAGCUCCAUAAUUGCCUUACUUGCUGGCAUAAUAAUUAUCUUUUUUGUUUAUGCAUCAGAUCUUUAAAGAAAACUAUCUGGAGCUCUAAUUCUAGAGCUGGGCAUGCCCCUUUUUAAUAUUAAUAUGAUCUCAUAGUGCUAGAAUGAAAGGAAUAGAGAUUUAUUUCUCCAGCCUGUAGGGAAACUGGCUGAAACAAUUUGCACAUCACAGAAGGCUCUCGCUGGCAGAUCUGGGCUGGGACUCCAGCCCGACGCCGUCUGAUCUCGCGUGGCUCUGCUGCUGCCCAGUGCCAGGGAGGCACUGCUGAACCGUCCAGAGCCUGCACCCUCUCCUCCUCUGCCCCAGGAACUGCAGCUCAGUUGGCACAGCUUUUUCACUGGGUUUGCCCUCUCUUGGGGGAAGUCACUUGGCAAGCCAGCUCAGUGGGCACUAGCAAACUAACCACCAUGGCCAUUGCUGUCAAUGCCAAAAAAAGAGGAAGCCAAAAAUUCCUAAAUAUGCUCAAAUAUUCUUGCUUCCGUUAGGAGGGGAUGGGGAGGUUACGCAAUCACUUCCACCUUCUGGGGAGGAAAAGGCUGAAUUUGGUACUUCCCUUGUCAGAACUUCUCAUCUUGGCAGGCACUUCUAAAAGCCAUGAAGGCUCUGCCUUGUGACUCCCCAGAUGGCAGGGCAGCACCCUGGACCUGGGAUAGCUGGGAGGCAGGGCUGGAUCCAGCCCGAGGGCUGGCAGAUAAGGAGCAGAAGCAGGCAGUCUUCAAGGAGCAGCAGGGAGCAUAACCCUGUACAUCUCAGCUUGGCAGGAAGCUGAUUAACAACAUUAACUCUUGCUGUGCAGGUGCCAGCUGGUGUGAGAACAGGAAGUGUGCCUGUGCAAGGCAGAAUGGUUUCACCAGGGCACAGCUGGACAUGCAGUCCCACGUUUGGGCCCCAGCUUGGGUCGUGUUCCCCUGGUCAGAGGGGCUUCAGGUCCCAGUGCUCCCAGCUGCCCUUGGCUCCUGCCAGCACUGCAGAGGGAGCCGUUCCCAAGGCUGGCAUUCCCAGUACAUGAAUGUAUUGUGUGAAGGCUGAUGUAACCUGCACCAUCAGCACCUUUCCCAGGUACCUCUACGUAAGAUGGGCCCUUUCCAUGCGGAGGUGCAGGGCUUUGAUGUGGCCGUGCUCAGCCAGGCUGAACCAAACCCAGAUUCAGCAGGUUCAAUUAGCUGUCGGUAGAGCAAAGCUCAGAGUGCUAAGGGGAGCCAUUUCAUUUCAUUUCAUUUCAUUUCAUUUCAUUUCAUUUCAUUUCAUUUCAUUUCAUUUCAUUUCAUUUCAUUUCAUUUCAUUUCAUUUCAUUUCUUGUAUGCUUAAAUGGCAGCUCAGGAAGCACACAUUUGUCAAUGCUUAGAUGAAGAAGGAUACAAAGAACAAACUUACACUAGCAGUGGGAAACUUCUCCUGAGAAAACAGAAUGUAUUUUCCUCGAGUUCUAGAAGUGUGACCUGGCAAAGUAUGAUUUCCACAAAAAUAAAUGUGCCUUGGUAUUGAGGGAAGCCCUAAAGUUCACAUUUCUAUUUUAUUUUCGUGGCAACGGAAACUACUUCAUGGACCAGCCCCAGCCUAGUGGUGGAUCUGGGCUUUGGGGGACUGUUUUUGUGUUACAGUCACCAGUGUAAGUUUGGAGUUACCACUGAGAUAGAAGGAUUAAUUAAAAAUACCAUUAUGGCAAUUGUGUAGAACUUUCUGACUGCUCCCUGUACAACUUACAUGAUUCUAAUUUUCUAACAGUGUGGGAUAGUGAUGAAGUGAGGAAAAUCCAUGGGGAGAAGCAGGGUGUGUGUGGAGGAGCUCAGCAGUAGCAAAACCUGUGCAUGGAGCACAGGAAAGGCUGGAAGUAAAUAAAUGAACCCUGAGCUCAGGGCUUUGACAUGUUCUGAAGCUUGAGGAACCCAGGGUUUGCUUUCACUGAGUCUUCAGAGACCUAAACAGCUUUGUGACUACAUGUACACAUUGUUAAAUGAUUAAGUCUGUAAAUAGAAAUGGCCUCAGUAGGUUUUCAAGAAGCCUGACAACUAUUGUUCUCAGAAAUAGCAAAUGCCCUAUUUGAAUUAUUUUUUGGUUAAUAGAAGGCAGACUCUUAGAAAUCCCUAUAAAUUCAGGUAUGUUUGAGCCCUUUGGAAGAGGGGCUCAAGUUUCUGUAUCCUUGAAUUUGAGAUCCAUGUGAACAGUAGACAGCAGGGAGGUGGUUAAUUCAACAUUAAAAGUACAGGAAAGCAGUCAGGGAAUAGCCCAGCUUUGCCCUUUGGAGGCAGGUGGAAGAUUCCAGUAUCUUUAAGUAGCUUUUUUGGACAUGACGUGUUUGCUUUAUUGCAGAUUUAGAAGUCAGGGAACAAAGGGAAACAAAUACUCGUGGGAUUUGUUUGAUGAGGAAUUAUUGAAGUGGUCAGCUGCAGCUAAUGGUGUUGACUUCUCCUUCAGGAGGCAGUAAACUAAACAGGCUCCAGUACCUGCCGUGUGUGAGUGUGAAGAGUAAAAGCAGCAUCCAGCCAAAGUAGAGUAGCCACGAUGGAAAUCUUCUAAAGUGAAUUUUCCACCGGCUUGGCUCUUGCACUUCCCAUGAGGACCACAAACGUUGGAAGAGAUGUAGCGAACCCCUUCGGGUGUGCUGUUGGAAGCCACUGCCACAGUGCAGCUGUCAAUUACUGCAGAAAAGCAGAGACCAGCAUGAGAAUUACCCAUGCAACCCGAUUCCUCAAGAGCAACAUUUUCACUUCCAGCCACGGAUGUUUAGAAGACACUCGUGCCAUUAAGUCAUUUAGGUUGGAAAAGACCUUUAAGAUCAUCGAGUGAAACCAUAAACAUAUGACUACAAAUAUGUUUGCUGCUUUAAAAUAACAUUGGACUCUGCCAACUGUGCAUAAAAUAAUCACAGCAUCUUAUCUGAUGAUUGCUGGAACACAUCCAUGGCUUGGAAUAAAUGCAUCAGGCUAUUUGCUA